rnacentral:rRNA from 1 species
AUUGAACGCUAGCGGGAUGCUUUACACAUGCAAGUCGAACGAGUGGCGGACGGGUGAGUAAUAUAUCGGAACGUGCCCAGUCGCGGGGGAUAACUACUCGAAAGAGUGGCUACUACCGCAUACUAUUGGAUCGGCCGAUAUGGGAGUAGCUAGUGGGUGGGGUAAAGGCCCACCAAGGCAACGAUCCGUAGCUGGUUUGAGAGGACGACCAGCCACACUGGGACUGAGACACGGUCCAGACUCCUACGGGAGGCAGCAGUGGGGAAUAUUGGACAAUGGGGGAAACCCUGAUCCAGCCAUCCCGCGUGUAUGAGAAGGCCUUCGGGUUGUAAAGUACUUUCAGCGGGGAGGCGUUACCCGCAGAAGAAGCACCGGCUAACUCCGUGCCAGCAGCCGCGGUAAUAC